CAAUAUUACAGUAGGGGUAGAGCGCUUCACUGUAAGUAACAACAAGCGAUGUAGAGGUAUCGUAACUAACGAUAGCCAGCGUAUCUUCUACGAUAUGAAGAGAUCCUCGGUUCGAUUCCGAGAAUGGG